GCUAUGGUCACUCACAACAAAGCACCAGGGGGCGGCGCUGUUGAACUCUAAACAAAGGCCCCAAAGUUGGAGCUCUCUAAACUUGGGCGGAAAAGAGUUAAGGGUGUGGGGGCCUUAACUGCCUUAAGCCUAGGGCAGGAAACUUGGCUCCCAGGGAGUCCCAAGCAAAUUCUGUCGCUUAGCUGGGUAUCUUGCCUCUUUGGUUGGGCAGAGCCCAGACCUUGUAAGAGAGAAGUGCAGUGUAGCGUCUUCACUAGCUAAGACAAGCACCUGCCCACUCCUACCUCCAGACUGUACUGACAGAUAGUUACCCAGGGGGUGGGGCGUGGACACUCCCAGCAUGAAAGGGAUGAGGGUCCUUCCCUACACUGCCAGACACUCAAGAGAGCUCGGACAAGCAGUGCCUCCUGAGAACUGGGUGGGGGAGGAGCACAGCUUGGAGACUGAGGUCUGAAGCUUCCCAGAAUGGGCGCCUCUACUCCUCUGAGAAGAAGAAGAAAAGACCAGCAGAUUUGAAGAGUUGGGUUGUCUCCCAGUGAGAGCAGACAGGUGCUGGCCUGAUAUCCCACCAGCUGCCUGGGCUGAGCCAGGUGUCUGGACUUACCCCCAUGGCCUGCCCCCUGCCUGAGCUGGAGUAGGGCUGCCUCAGGGACAGCCUGCUCUGGGAGUGGGGCCUUCACAUCUGGGCAGAUCCCUUUGGCCUUUCCCAACCACCAGGUCCCAGCUGAAAGAUCUCAGGAAGUGGGAGCAACCGUCCGGAUGCAUGAGGCUAGAGAAGAGACAGGACCAGUUACACCCUUUGCUCAAACUUUACUAAGAUUUUCAAGCCUGCCAGCUCUCGCCGGAGUUGAGGGGCAUGCAAGGAUAGGGCCCUGCUGCUCAGCAUGCUGGCUCACUUCUUGGAUGAGUUCUAACUGAUUCAUUCACCAUGGCCAUCUCUAGUGGGGAGUCCUAUUCAGGUCUCCUUGAGCCAUCACUUUGAGGCUUUUAUGCAUGUUUUAAACUUCUGUCCUUCCUUUCUGUACCUCCUGUGCAAAGGGAUGGACCACUGCCUAUGUCUCCAUGGGGAUGACACACUCAGUUCCCUCUCCUUGACUGACCCCUGGCCCUGCCACCCUCACUGAGGACUUACUAGCCCAGGCCCAUUUCACUGUUUCAUUGGAACAGCUCUCUUUAAGAAUACCCAUUAUCUUCUAAAUACUGAAGCCAAAAACUUAUUUUCCCUCUUCAUUUUUUCUUGAUGUCUCUGUUGUUUUCACUCUUGAGCCCUGGCUGUUUUCAAGUCUCCCCUCCCACGACUUCUAAGAAACCUGCGCUUCUGCUUCUUCUCUCCUCUGCUUGCCAGAAGAGUGGAUCCUUUGCCUUUUCUGCCCCAGGAGGUUGGCCAGUCCUCACAGUUCUGCCCAUGGCCUUCACCUAUCUCUUUACAACCCACCCUUUUGUCAAAUUCAAUGGUUCUUGUGGAUGCUGAAGGUCUCAGGAAGAGGAGUUCCUGCUGACUGUCAGAGAAAUGCCUCAUCCUGUAUCAUCUCCAAUCUAUGGCUCCUGUCUUUUUGUCUACCAGGAAUGUUCUCACCUAUGAUUCUUUUCCAUCUACUGAGAUCUGACCCUUCUGUUAAGGCACAGGUGACAUGCGGCCCCCAUCACAAGUGUUUCUGAGUAACCAAACCAGAACUGAUCUCUCUUUGAAGUUCAUAGGACUUUCUAUUGGCAAUUUACCACUUAUCACACCUUCCCUGUUUUACAAGUAAUCAUGUGUUUUUAAUCAUGCUGUCUGCUAGAUUUAUAAUCUACUUUCUUGAGAGUGGAGCAUAGCUUUUACACAUCUUUGUAUCCUCAUCCACCUACAGCAUGUUUUGUUUGCAGACAGUGUUCAGGAGUUUUUUGAGCACCUGUUAUAGAUAUUUCUCUGUGCCCUGCCUCCAGUGUGACUUUCUCAUGUUAACCUGCAAACGCAAAGGUGGGGGACCUCAGAGCCUCAGGGUAAGGAGUGUGGACUAUGCAGCCACCAUGGCUGGAUUUGAGUCCCAGCUCCAUCAUUUAUAAGUUGUGUCAUAUUUAGCAAGUAGCCCAGCCUCUCUGUGCCUCAGUUUUUUCAACUGUGUGAUGAGGUAUCCUAAUAGUCACCCCUUCAAAGUGUUAUUCUGAGGAUUGAAUGAGUUACACAUGUAAAGCAGUCAGAAUGGCUGAACCAUGGUAAAUUCUCAACAAAUUUUAGCUAGAAAAAGGAUAUACUCGGGUUUCAAUAAUUUGAAUUCAGCACUGAUUGUGUUCGACACCCUGCAUGGUUCCUGACCAUAGCAGAGACUCACUAAAUGUCUACUGGGUAAAAUGCAAUUCAGCUGAGCAUUUUUACCAAUAAUAACAAUAAGCAAUUGUGAAAAUAAAAUCAAGGACAAAAAUAAGUUCACAGACCAGGAGGAAUAAGGAAGGAAUUGAAGAUAGCCCCAAGAAGCAUGACCCGUGUCCCAGUGUACCAAGAGGGCUGUUAGUAAGCCUCAGGCUUACUCCCCAUCUGGCUGGAGGCAUCCAUUAUCAAUAACUCAUUUUCCAGAUGUGGAAACUGAAGGUCAGGGAGAAUAGGUGACUUCCCAAGGCCACACAGAUAGUCAGUGGUGAAAGUAAGAUUCUCUAGCUCGGUUUAGGAUGAAAGAAUUAGAAUGUGCAGUACAUCAGAGCCCUGAUUUUGUCACUUACCCAUUGUUGGAAUUUAAGUUAUUUAAAUCUCUGGUUUUCUCUUCCCAAACUGGAGGUAUAAUAUCUAAUUUACAAGGUUGUCAUGGAAAUUAGAAAAUGUAUUAACAGGGGGUGUUACCUUCCUUGUAACAUAGCAGCUAUUCAACAAAUACAGCUGUUACUACUGGUGAAUGUUGUCAGAACAGAAGUGGAGAGGAGUCCAGAUGCAGGAGGGGGUCCAAGGGCAAUGUGUUGCCCCAGACAUAUCCUAGCCAAAGAUCUUUUUCAAGUGUGGGAGGCAGCUUUUUUCUUAAAAGACUUGAAAAGAACUUUCUAGUUCCAACAUGAUCACUUACUGAAAAACCACCUGCUAGAGGGCACAAUUCCAGGUGCUAAGAACAUCAAGACUGUGGAGAUACGUGACUGACUACUAAUUGUUGCUGGUGAUGAAAGUUCCAGGACCUUUGGAUGGAAAAUGAUGUUGGAAAAACUUGGGGACAAGGCAGAUAAAAGUCGCAUACACUAUCCAAUAUGAUAGGCACUAAUCACCUGUGGUUAGUUAACUUAAACUCAUUAAAAUUAAAGUUAAAAGUUUAUUUCUCAGUGUCACCAGUCCUAUGUCAAGUGCACCAUAGGCUAGUGACUACCAGAUUGGGCAUUACAGAGAGAGAAUAUUUGAUCAUUAGCAAAAUUUCUUUUAGAUGGUGUUGCUGUAUACAGUCAGAUAAUGUCACCUGAAUGUACCAUCCAUUGCUGGAAGAACAUUAGUGUCCCUUUCUUAGGUUCAAAGGAUGCUGUUUCACAAUUGUUUUCAAGGUAAUGGUGGUCAAAACUGCAAUCAAAAUUUAUAAGGGGGAACAUUAAUAGAAGUAUUAAGGGGUGCCUGAGUGGUUCAGUCAGCUCAAGUCAUGAUCUCACAGUUCAUAGGUUGGAGCCCUGGUCAGGAUCUGUGAUGACAGCUCAGAACCUGGGGCCUGCUGCGGAUUCUUUGUCUCCUUCUCUCUCUGCCUCUCCCUCACUAGCUCUGUCUCUGUCUCUCUGUCUCUCUGUCUCCCUC